CGACGCACAGCGAAAGGUGCUUGCACCUUUCAAGUGAGUGGCGAACGGGUGAGUAACACGUGGACAACCUGCCUCAAGGCUGGGGAUAACAUUUGGAAACAGAUGCUAAUACCGAAUAAAACUUAGUGUCGCAUGACACAAAGUUAAAAGGCGCUUCGGCGUCACCUAGAGAUGGAUCCGCGGUGCAUUAGUUAGUUGGUGGGGUAAAGGCCUACCAAGACAAUGAUGCAUAGCCGAGUUGAGAGACUGAUCGGCCACAUUGGGACUGAGACACGGCCCAAACUCCUACGGGAGGCUGCAGUAGGGAAUCUUCCACAAUGGGCGAAAGCCUGAUGGAGCAACGCCGCGUGUGUGAUGAAGGCUUUCGGGUCGUAAAGCACUGUUGUAUGGGAAGAACAGCUAGAAUAGGAAAUGAUUUUAGUUUGACGGUACCAUACCAGAAAGGGACGGCUAAAUACGUGCCAGCAGCCGCGGUAAUACGUAUGUCCCGAGCGUUAUCCGGAUUUAUUGGGCGUAAAGCGAGCGCAGACGGUUUAUUAAGUCUGAUGUGAAAGCCCGGAGCUCAACUCCGGAAUGGCAUUGGAAACUGGUUAACUUGAGUGCAGUAGAGGUAAGUGGAACUCCAUGUGUAGCGGUGGAAUGCGUAGAUAUAUGGAAGAACACCAGUGGCGAAGGCGGCUUACUGGACUGCAACUGACGUUGAGGCUCGAAAGUGUGGGUAGCAAACAGGAUUAGAUACCCUGGUAGUCCACACCGUAAACGAUGAACACUAGGUGUUAGGAGGUUUCCGCCUCUUAGUGCCGAAGCUAACGCAUUAAGUGUUCCGCCUGGGGAGUACGACCGCAAGGUUGAAACUCAAAGGAAUUGACGGGGACCCGCACA
rnacentral:rRNA from 1 species